rnacentral:lncRNA from 1 species
ACCGUACGGACUUGGCUGACAAGGUGGCGGCGCGCUCGGAGGACCUGAACUGUAGGCGCGGCCAUGCUUCCCGGAACGUAUGGUCUCCGCUGUCUUACGGACUCGAUGGUCAAGAUGGCGGCGACAGAGAGACCUUCGCGGCUCUAGGUGGGAGACCUAUUUGUUUGCCGCUAAAGCCGUCGCGCCGGGCGUGAGGAGUUAAAGAGUGCGGGGCCGCGGAGGCGGGACCAGUGGCGGAAGUAGUUGCGGGCGCCUUUGCGGGCGCCUUUGCUCCCGCCGCGGACGCUGCCGGGGAGCUCGUUCGGCUUCGCGGGUUGUUGCACGGGGUCCAGAGCGGGCGCUCUGUGAGCGGAGAUAUGGUGAGUACCGGGUCGGAUCGGGGUUCAGAGGCAGAGGUCGGGGGGACUGAAAACCGCUGCCUGUUGGCAGGCGCACGGGGUCCCCGGCGAGCUGUGUGCCCAGUCUCCGGGCCGGUGAGUGAGGUUGGGGGUGAACCAUCUGUGAGUUCUUUGAUGAUCCGUUGUAGGUUGGGGAGGGGACGGGACCCCAUCGUGGAAGUUCAGUGGGACUCCAGAUGGCAGUUUGGUGGGAAACCUUCACGCGAAGUUCCUUCGCCAGAGAGAUAAGGACUUGGCCACGAAUGUAUUUGCACAGGCUCUGGAGAACCGUCAUCGGGGGUGGGGUCUAUGAGCUAAGUUGUAGACACUUGUGGGAAGCCGGCAUGGGACGACAGCUGGAUAAAUUAAGUGCUAUCUGAGUAGAACUCUUUAAGGGGGACACAGUGUGGUAAGUGUAUGUGAUGAGCAGUCAGCGUGACAGGAUGCUUGACAGGAUGGGUGUGUGUGAUGGGAGGGUCCGAGUGAUGGAGUAGCGUUUAGGCAAAGUAAUGAGGCCCAGGGUUAGGUUUGGAAGAGGGUCUGGGUGAACUAGAGUGGAAAGGCUAAUGGGAAGUUCAAAGACACAGUUGGAAUUUGUGGUGAGUCGUGGUGGGGCUGUAAGUCGGGAGGGGGACUAAGGAGCCAUUGUGGGGGUGGGUCUCACAGGAAGGAGAUGGCUCAGACCUGGAACCUCCGGAUGCCGGGGACGACAGCAAGUCUGAGAAUGGGGAGAACGCUCCCAUCUACUGCAUCUGUCGCAAACCGGACAUCAAUUGCUUCAUGAUUGGAUGUGACAACUGCAACGAGUGGUUCCAUGGAGACUGCAUCCGGAUCACUGAGAAGAUGGCCAAGGCCAUCCGGGAAUGGUACUGUCGGGAGUGCCGAGGUGAGGCCUGUGCGUGGGAAUUGGGCUCCGAGAGAUGAAGAGGAGCCAUCAUGGGAGGGAUCCUGGGUAAUGAUGGUGUGCUGUUUGGCCAGAAUGAUGAAUUGGAAAGUCAGGUCCAAUUCUAGCAGUUGUGAAGGAUCCCAAAGGAAAGGGCAGCUCUCUCCUGUAGCAUGAGCCAGACAGGUUGGCGGGGCAGG